rnacentral:rRNA from 1 species
GAUGAACGCUAGCGGCAGGCUUAACACAUGCAAGUCGAGGGGCAGCACGGGUAGCAAUACUUGGUGGCGACCGGCGCAAGGGUGCGUAACGCGUGAGCAACAUGCCCGUAUCAGGGGGAUAAUCCAUGGAAACGUGGUCUAAUACCCCAUAGUAAGUUUUUGGGGCAUCUCAAAGAUUUUAAAGCUUUGGUGGAUACGGAUUGGCUCGCGUGACAUUAGCUAGAUGGUAAGGUAACGGCUUACCAUGGCUACGAUGUCUAGGGGUUCUGAGAGGAAGGUCCCCCACACUGGAACUGAGACACGGUCCAGACUCCUACGGGAGGCAGCAGUGAGGAAUAUUGGACAAUGGAUGGAAAUCUGAUCCAGCCAUGCCGCGUGCAGGAAGACGGCCCUAUGGGUUGUAAACUGCUUUUGUAUGGGAGCAAUAAGAUCUACGUGUAGAUUGAUGAGAGUACCAUACGAAUAAGCACCGGCUAACUCCGUGCCAGCCGCCGCGGUAACAC